UCUCGCGAGAUGAGACUUGUGACGCUGAUGUAUUCUGUCUGCAGGAGCUGGCCGGCAGGAGCCCAGGAGCUAUACAUUUAAACUGCGAUCGGGGAGAUUUCAACAGCGAUUCCGGAGUGCAAGUUGUCUUAUGAAAAGCGGGACAGUGGCGGUACUGUUGGUCGGUAUGGAGAUGCUGUAUACCGGGGACUUAACGCCAACAGGCUACUACUCACAGGUGAUUUAAUCACACACCAUGCUGCACCACAUUCCUGUGCCCUUCAGCAGAUGGCAGUGCAAGAAAAAAAAGGGUUUUCUUCCAAUCGCCUGAAGGAUGAACCAUUCUUUAGAAAAUUCCAUUCCCUAUGAAGAUUAUUUGAGGAUGAAAGCCCAAACCAUACCGCCACAUCGUAUGAAAGAGUUUUUGGACUCUCUUAGUGGUAAAGGAAGUGAGGAAAUGCAGCAGUUUGUACAUUCUCCGAUUUCAGUAUAUCCGCAACGGAAUCAUUAUUUUUACAUGGACAGCACAGAUGUGGCCGGUUCUUUGUUGGAGCUGGCAAGGCCUAUUGCAUCUCCUUUGCAGCAUACUACAGUUAGCCCUGGCGUUCCUCUCGAUCAGCAUCACAGUCCUGUUCACCAUGUUUCACUACGGCAGGGUCACCAUGUGGAUAUUCAGCCGAAUCAAUCUGCUAAGCCUAUGCAGCAGCAAGUAGAAGGGCAGCCCGUUUCUGAAGAACAAAGUUCUAGCAUUGCUGGUUCAUCUAACACACAAGAUAAACGAUCAUGCUUAACAGGAUUAUCUCAACCAGUGAAGAAAAGAAAAUUUGACUUUCCAGUUGAAAACUACUAUCCUGUAAAUCAUGCAUCCUUACAGAGUGUGUCUGCUGCUGCAGUACUGGCAUUACCUGUACAGAGCCAGCAACAGGCCUAUAUUCCACUUCGCCAAGAGCUGCUAACUGUGGAUAGUAGCCAGUUGUAUGGGCUAGUACCAGCUAGUACAUCAGCCUCUGGUCAGUUGCCCAACGUUGAAUCGUGGGCAAUAUUUUCUACACAUGCAACAUGUCCUGAGUCUCAGACUAAUAUGCAUACCUCUGUUCCUCAGGACUCCUGUGGGAUUGUCCAAAUGGGAGAGAUUCCAAUGACUAUAAGUAGCAUCAAGGUAGAAGAAAGUAAAGAGAUCUUUGAAGCAAAAAAAACCAAUACAGAGAAAACUGUGCAUGCUCCAGGCACUUCAGGCUUCCCUAUGCAGUUGAUAAAUAUGAAUGGGAAUAUCCCAAUGUCUUUGUCUGUACAGAGUACAGGAAGAGGGUAUCAACCAUCAAAAUACUGGGAUCAACAAGUUCAGUCUGAAGGCCUACAGAGCUCUCCAACUGAACCUCACCUACGUUUGCAGAAUAAUGCAGAUUUUCCAUGCACCCUCAAGCCCGAGGAAGGUGCUUUAUUUUGGAAGAGUUGGGCACAGAUAAAAAAUGCGGAAACCAUGAAGGAAAUGGAAAACAAGUUGCCAUGUUCUGAAAGAAGAAAACCAAUCCUUUUUAAGGAAGAUAUUCUUUCAGUGCCAAUAGCAGAUUUAAAUUACGGACUGUGCCUAAUGACCAAAGAGGCUAGAAAACAUGAUGGUUCUUCUUAUGAUGCUGAUAUGUUGUUCUUUUUAUUUCUGUGUAUGCAAAAGCACAUGUUUGACAACAACAGAAUCGAUAAUGUCUUUGCUGACCUUUACUAUUCCAAGUUUUUGGAAAAACUUCAUGAAGUACUUAAGGAGUGGUGCCCAAGAGUAAACCCAUUUGGUUACAUCAUAUCCAGUUAUAUCACUGAAGAAAUGUUAUGGGACUGUAAACAACUUGGUGCUCAUUCACCAACUACUCUACUUUUCACACUGAUGUAUUUUAACACUAAGUAUUUUAUUUUAAAAACUGUAGAACAGCAUUCACAGCUGGCUUUCUCCAAAAUAACAAAGCAGACCCGGAAGAAUCCCGGAAUCGGAAAAGAUAAGAACUGCACGAUACGUUUUCUGCGGUUGUAUGGUCAAGUUCAGAGUGGUUUGAAAGUUACUGAAGAAACCUACGUGGAACAACUUGAAAACCCAGAUAAUCCACUGCAGUGUCCCAUCAAGUUAUAUGAUUUCUAUCGCUUUAAAUGUCCACAAGGAAUGAGGGGACCAACAGAUGCCUUCUACUUAGUUCCUGAACCAGUAGUAGCCCCAAACAGCCCUAUCUGGUAUUCUGGACAGCCUGUAAAUAAGGAAGUGAUGGAGCAAAUGCUAACCCGAAUAUUACUGGUUAAAGAUGUCCAGGAAGCACAUGCUGCUUCCCACAUUUCUGCAUAUUAAUUCACCUGCCUGUGUAACAAUGUUAUAAGAAAGAAAUGCGUAUACACUUUAUUUGUAAAGCAUGAUGAACUAUAGCUUAUGUACUUUUCUGUACUUUAUUCCACAGGAAAAGCUGAUUGCUUUGAGUAUACAAAGCAUUUACUGACCACAAUAUAUGUUCAACUUUUUGCAAUGUACAGAAAGCACAUCGAUUUAGUAUGUUUUGAUCUAAUUUAUGCUUCCUCUGUCCUGAUCACUCUAUAACUCUGUACGUACAGGGCUGAAAUCACACCCGUAUAUAAAUAUAUAUAUAUAUGGAGUAGUUACACUCCGGCUUAAUCGUUUGAUUUUGUUUUUUUUUUUGUAAAUAUUUUGCUUAGGUAUCUUUACAUAAAACAAUUACACAAUAAGGUCAACCCUUAAGGUCUUCUAAUUCUAAAAUAUGUACUGUAUCAUGUGAAAGACUUUAUGUAUGGGAUUGUUCAUUGGUAACAAGUGCUUAAUUUGUAUACUUUAUAAAUCUGUUUAGUGCAAUGCAGCCAUAAACAUGUUCUUAAUGAAACAUGCUAAUAAGAUGGUACUGUUUUUCCUUUAUAAAGGAUAAUGCUUCCAUGAGAUACAAUCAAGGAUGCCAAACUGAAAAAUGUCAUAUAUAGACAUUAAAAAAUUUUUUUACUUUUUUUUUUUAAUUAUGUUGAAAUUGUAGUCACGGGAAGCGUCAAGUUUUUUGGAACAUUUCCAGAGUUUGUGUUUUUGAUGUUGUGAGUGUAAUUCGUGCCUAAGGAAAAGGUCACUAGAAAUUUGACUCGUAUCUGUCCGCACCUACUUUUAUGCAUGCACAGAGGAAUUGCACAUCAUGCUGAGAAAACUAUACAACCUUACCUCAAAUCCAGUUAGGUUGUGCCUUAAAACAAUCCAGGCACUUGCAUUUCUUUCAACAGUGACUGUAAUGUAACCUUUGAUUGUGUUUUUAGUAAGUUCGCUUUUACAGGGAGAUAUUGUAUAUUUUCACAGAAAACUCAACAUGGAAAUCACUGAAUAAUAGGAGAAAUGAGUGUUCUAAUCUGAUGUAUGCUAGAUUUCUGACUUCUUUGUUAUUUAAUACAGACUGAGCACUAAUUUUCAUUUGAAAUAAAACUGAAAUGGAUUGGA